rnacentral:rRNA from 1 species
UACGUAGGGUGCAAGCGUUUGUCCGGAAUUAUUGGGCGUAAAGAGCUCGUAGGCGGUCUGUCGCGUCUGGUGUGAAAACUCGGGGCUUAACUCCGGGCCUGCAUCGGGUACGGGCAGACUAGAGUGUGGUAGGGGAGACUGGAAAUUCCUGGUGUAGCGGUGAAAAUGCGCAGAUAUCAGGAGGAACACCGGUGGCGAAGGCGGGGUCUCUGGGGCCAUAACUGACGCUGAGGAGCGAAAAGCAUGGGGGAGCGAACAGG